CCUACGGGUGGCAGCAGUGAGGAAUAUUGGUCAAUGGCCGAGAGGCUGAACCAGCCAAGUCGCGUGAGGGAAGAAGGCCCUACGGGUUGUAAACCUCUUUUGUAGGGGAGCAAAACGCGCCACGUGUGAAUGAUUGCGCGUACCCGAAGAAAAAGCAUCGGCUAACUCCGUGCCAGCAGCCGCGGUAAUACGGAGGAUGCGAGCGUUAUCCGGAUUUAUUGGGUUUAAAGGGUGCGAAGGCGGAGGUGCAAGUCAGCGGUAAAGUUGCGGGGCUCAACCUCGUACUGCAGUUGAGACUGGGUGACUUGAGUGCGCGAGAGGUAGGCGGAAUGCGUGGUGUAGCGGUGAAAUGCAUAGAUAUCACGAGGAACUCCGAUUGCGAAGGCAGCAUACCGGCGUGCAACUGACGCUGAGGCUCGAAAGCGUGGGUAUCAAACAGGAUUAGAUACCCCUGUAGUC
rnacentral:rRNA from 1 species